rnacentral:misc_RNA from 1 species
UCUCCGUAGGUGAACCUGCGGAGGGAUCAUUACAGAGUUCAUGCCCUCACGGGUAGAUCUCCCACCCUGUGUUAUUAUACUUUGUUGCUUUGGCAGGCCGCCCGCGUGGGCUACCGGCUCCAGCUGGUAAGUGCCUGCCAGAGGACCCCAAACUCUGAAUAUUUUAUUGUCUGAGUACUAUAUAAUAGUUUAAAACUUUCAACAACGGAUCUCUUGGUUCUGGCAUCGAUGAAGAAGCAGC